AGGAAACCAAAAGUAAAACCAUGC
rnacentral:sRNA from 1 species